rnacentral:rRNA from 1 species
GACGAACGCUGGCGGCGUGCCUAAUACAUGCAAGUGGGACGCAAGGGAACACACUGUGCUUGCACACCGUAUUUUCUUGAGUCGCGAACGGGUGAGUAACGCGUAGGUAACCUGCCUAUUAGCGGGGGAUAACUAUUGGAAACGAUAGCUAAUACCGCAUAAUAUUAAUUAUUGCAUGAUAAUUGAUUGAAAGAUGCAAGCGCAUCACUAGUAGAUGGACCUGCGUUGUAUUAGCUAGUUGGUAAGGUAAGAGCUUACCAAGGCGACGAUACAUAGCCGACCUGAGAGGGUGAUCGGCCACACUGGGACUGAGACACGGCCCAGACUCCUACGGGAGGCAGCAGUAGGGAAUCUUCGGCAAUGGACGAAAGUCUGACCGAGCAACGCCGCGUGAGUGAAGAAGGUUUUCGGAUCGUAAAGCUCUGUUGUAAGUCAAGAACGUGUGUGAGAGUGGAAA